rnacentral:lncRNA from 1 species
CGAGAGUUGGGGUCUUCGCGUAGGGAGAGGGCCGGAUUCUGUGGAGUUGCUAGUUCGCCACCACUGGGCAGAGCCUAGAAGAGGAAAGAAUGGCUGUUGCACACUCAAAAACAAAGUUCAAGCUCCGCUCCUCCCAUCCCCCUUCAAAACAAAGUGAAACCACCAACAUGGGAUAAUUUGAAGAAAAUUUCAGGUAAUAUAGUUCAUCCACAAAUAUUUUGAUACAUA